rnacentral:rRNA from 1 species
GACGAACGCUGGCGGCGUGCUUAACACAUGCAAGUCGAACGGAGUGGCGAACGGGUGAGUAACACGUGGGUGAUCUGCCUUGCACUUCGGGAUAAGCUUGGGAAACUGGGUACAAAACCGGAUAGUGCAAGAUGAGCUCGCGGCCUAUGAGCUUGUUGGUGGGGUAAUGGCCUAACAAGGCGUCGACGGGUAGCCGGCCUGGGAGGGUGUACGGCCACAUUGGGACUGAGGUACGGCCCAGACGCCUACGGGAGGCAGCGGUGGGGAGUAUUGCACAGUGGGCGGAAGCCUGAUGCAGCGACGCCGCGUGGGGGAUGAAGGCCUUCGGGUUGUAAACUCCUUUCGACAGGGACGCGGUACCUGUAUAAGAAGCACCGGCUAACUACGUGCCAGCAGCCGCGGUAAUUC